rnacentral:rRNA from 1 species
AGCAGCCGCGGUAAUUCCAGCUCCAAUAGCGUAUAUUAAAGUUGUUGCAGUUAAAAAGCUCGUAGUUGAAUUUCGGGGUCAGUAAGUUGGUCGUGCCACUGGUAUGUACUGACUUUACUGAUUCCUCCUUCUUGUAGAACCGUAAUGCCAUUAAGUUGGUGUUGCGGGGAAACAGGACUGUUACUUUGAAAAAAUUAGAGUGUUUAAAGCAAGCUAACGCUUGAAUACAUUAGCAUGGAAUAAUGAAAUAGGACGCUCGAUCCUAUUUUGUUGGUUUCUAGGAUUGACGUAAUGAUUAAUAGGGAUAGUUGGGGGCAUUAGUAUUCAAUUGUCAGAGGUGAAAUUCUUGGAUUUAUUGAAGACUAACUACUGCGAAAGCAUUUGCCAAGGAUGUUUUCAUUAAUCAAGAACGAAAGUUAGGGGAUCGAAGACGAUCAGAUACCGUCGUAGUCUUAACCAUAAACUAUGCCGACUAGGGAUCGGAUGAUGUUAAUUUUUAAUGACUCAUUCGGCGCCUUAC